AGCGAACGCUGGCGGCAGGCCUAACACAUGCAAGUCGAACGAUCCUUCGGGAUAGUGGCGGACGGGUGAGUAACACGUGGGAACGUGCCCUUUGGUUCGGAACAACUCAGGGAAACUUGAGCUAAUACCGAAUGUGCCCUUCGGGGGAAAGAUUUAUCGCCAUUGGAGCGGCCCGCGUCUGAUUAGCUUGUUGGUGAGGUAACGGCUCACCAAGGCGACGAUCAGUAGCUGGUCUGAGAGGAUGAUCAGCCACACUGGGACUGAGACACGGCCCAGACUCCUACGGGAGGCAGCAGUGGGGAAUCUUGCGCAAUGGGCGAAAGCCUGACGCAGCCAUGCCGCGUGAAUGAUGAAGGUCUUAGGAUUGUAAAAUUCUUUCACCGGGGACGAUAAUGACGGUACCCGGAGAAGAAGCUCCGGCUAACUUCGUGCCAGCCGCCGCGGUAAGAC
rnacentral:rRNA from 1 species